UUCUUUUACGUGCCGUGUAAAACUUGAGGG
rnacentral:piRNA from 2 species